rnacentral:rRNA from 1 species
CAUAUCAAUAAGCGGAGGAAAAGAAACCAACAGGGAUUGSUCUAGUAACGGSGAGUGAAGCAGCAAUAGCUCAAAUUUGAAAUCUGGSGUCUUCGACGUCCGAGUUGUAAUUUGUAGAGGAUGCUUCUGAGUAACCACCGACCUAAGUUCCUCGGAACAGGACGUCAUAGAGGGUGAGAAUCCCGUAUGCGGUCGGAAAGGUGCUCUAUACGUAGCUCCUUCGACGAGUCGAGUUGUUUGGGAAUGCAGCUCUAAAUGGGAGGUAAAUUUCUUCUAAAGCUAAAUAUUGGCCAGAGACCGAUAGCGCACAAGUAGAGUGAUCGAAAGAUGAAAAGCACUUUGGAAAGAGAGUUAAAAAGCACGUGAAAUUGUUAAAAGGGAAGGGAUUGCAACCAGACUUGCUCGCGGUGUUCCGCCGGUCUUCUGACCGGUCUACUCGCCGCGUUGCAGGCCAGCAUCGUCUGGUGCCGCUGGAUAAGACUUGAGGAAUGUAGCUCCCUCGGGAGUGUUAUAGCCUCUUGUGAUGCAGCGAGCGCCGGGCGAGGUCCGCGCUUCGGCUAGGAUGCUGGCGUAAUGGUCGUAAUCCGCCCGUCUUGAAACACGGACCAAGGAGUCUAACAUCUAUGCGAGUGUUCGGGUGUCAAACCCCUACGCGUAAUGAAAGUGAACGGAGGUGAGAACCGCAAGGUGCAUCAUCGACCGAUCCUGAUGUCUUCGGAUGGAUUUGAGUAAGAGCAUAGCUGUUGGGACCCGAAAGAUGGUGAACUAUGCCUGAAUAGGGUGAAGCCAGAGGAAACUCUGGUGGAGGCUCGCAGCGGUUCUGACGUGCAAAUCGAUCGUCAAAUUUGGGUAUAGGGGCGAAAGACUAAUCGAACCAUCUAGUAGCUGGUUCCUGC